rnacentral:rRNA from 1 species
CCUACGGGGCGCAGCAGUAAGGAAUAUUAUGCAAUGGACGCAAGUCUGACAUAGCCAUGCCGCGUGCAGGAUGAAGGCGCUUGCGUUGUAAACUGCUUUUAUCUGGGAAGCGGUACCAGAGGAAUAAGCACCGGCUAACUCCGUGCCAGCAGCCGCGGUAAUACGGAGGGUGCAAGCGUUAUCCGGAUUUACUGGGUUUAAAGGGUGCGUAGGCGGGCAGUUAAGUCAGUGGUGAAAUCUCCGAGCUUAACUUGGAAACUGCCAUUGAUACUAUCUGUCUUGAAUCUUGUGGAGGUAAAUGGAAUAUGUCAUGUAGCGGUGAAAUGCUUAGAGAUGACAUGGAACACCAAUUGCGAAGGCAGUUUGCUACACAAGAUUGACGCUGAGGCACUAAAGCGUGGGGAUCAAACAGGAUUAGAUACCCCUGUAGUC